rnacentral:rRNA from 1 species
UCCGAGUUGUAAUUUGCAGAGGAUGCUUCGGGUUCGGCUCCGGUCUAAGUUCCUUGGAACAGGACAUCACAGAGGGUGAGAAUCCCGUAUGUGACCGGCCGCCACGCCCGUGUGAAGCUCCUUCGACGAGUCGAGUUGUUUGGGAAUGCAGCUCAAAAUGGGUGGUAAAUUUCAUCUAAAGCUAAAUAUUGGCCAGAGACCGAUAGCGCACAAGUAGAGUGAUCGAAAGAUGAAAAGCACUUUGGAAAGAGAGUCAAACAGUACGUGAAAUUGUUGAAAGGGAAGCGCUUGCAACCAGACUUGCCCGCGGAUGAUCAGCCGGUAUUCUUACCGGUGCACUCGCCCGUGGUCAGGCCAGCAUCGGUUUGGGCGGCUGGAUAAAGUCCACUGGAAUGUAGCUCCUCUCGGGGAGUGUUAUAGCCAGAGGUGCCAUGCAGCCCGCCCGGACCGAGGACCGCGCUUCGGCUAGGAUGCUGGCGUAAUGGUUGUAAGCGACCCGUCUUGAAACACGGACCAAGGAGUCUAACAUCUAUGCGAGUGUUUGGGUGUCAAACCCAUGCGCGUAAUGAAAGUGAACGGAGGUGGGAACCCUUCAGGGUGCACCAUCGACCGAUCCUGAUGUCUUCGGAUGGAUUUGAGUAAGAGCAUAGCUGUUGGGACCCGAAAGAUGGUGAACUAUGCCUGAAUAGGGUGAAGCCAGAGGAAACUCUGGUGGAGGCUCGCAGCGGUUCUGACGUGCAAAUCGAUCGUCAAAUUUGGGUAUAG